rnacentral:lncRNA from 1 species
CCAUGGGCACCCAUGGCACCCACAGCCCCCACAGGGCAACCAUGGGCACCUGCACCUGCAUGGGCACCAUCAGUGCCAUGGGCAACCAUGGGCACCUGCAGGCAUCCAUGACACCCACAGGGCAACCAUGGGCACCCAUGGGGCAACCAUGGGCACCCAUGGGCAACCAUGGCAACCAAGGCACCCACGGGGCAACCACAGCACCCAUGGGACAACCAUCAGUGCCAUGGGCAACCAUGGGCACCCAUGGGCAACCAUGGCACCCACAGGCAUCCAUGGGCACACAUGGCACCCCCAUCAGUACCAUGGACAACCAUGGGCAACCAUGGCACCCACGGCACCUCUGUCAGUGACACAGGCACCCAUGGGCACCCACAGGGCAACCAUGGGCACCUGUGGGGCAACCAUGGCACCCACAGGACAACCAUCAGUGCCAUGGGCAACCGUGGGGCAGCCACAGGCACCCAUGGGGCAACCAUGAUGGUACCCAUGGGCACCCCCAUCAGUGCCAUGGGCCACCACGGGGCAACCAUGGGCAACCAUGGGGCAACCCAUGAUGGUACCUGUGGGUGCCCCCAUCAGUGCCAUGGGCCACCACGGGGCAACCAUGGGCAACCAUGGGGCAACCCAUGAUGGUACCUGUGGGUGCCCCCAUCAGUGCCAUGGGCCACCACGGGGCAACCAUGGGCAACCAUGGGGCAACCCAUGAUGGUACCUGUGGGUGCCCCCAUCA